rnacentral:rRNA from 1 species
CCUACGGGACGCAGCAGUGAGGAAUAUUGGUCAAUGGCCGGAAGGCUGAACCAGCCAAGUCGCGUGAGGGAAUAAGGCCCUAUGGGUCGUAAACCUCUUUUGUCAGGGAGCAAAGGCGUCCACGUGUGGACGAGAGGAGAGUACCUGAAGAAAAAGCAUCGGCUAACUCCGUGCCAGCAGCCGCGGUAAUACGGAGGAUGCGAGCGUUAUCCGGAUUUAUUGGGUUUAAAGGGUGCGCAGGCGGUCUGUUAAGUCAGCGGUCAAAGCCCGGGGCUCAACCCCGGCCCGCCGUUGAAACUGGCAGU